UACGGAGGGUGCAAGCGUUAUCCGGAUUCACUGGGGUUAAAGGGUGCGUAGGUGGGUUGGUAAGUCAGUGGUGAAAUCUCCAGGCUUAACUUGGAAACUGCCAUUGAUACUAUCAAUCUUGAAUACCGUGGAGGUCAGCGGAAUAUGUCAUGUAGCGGUGAAAUGCUUAGAUAUGACAUAGAACACCAAUUGCGAAGGCAGCUGGCUACACGAAUAUUGACACUGAUGCACGAAAGCGUAGGGAUCAAACAGG
rnacentral:rRNA from 1 species